AGGCCGCUCGGAACCGUGGCGGCGGCGGAGGCGGGGAUCCCGCGGCUGCGGCGACGGUGGCCGCGGUGGAGCCACGGGGCGGGCUUGGCUUGGUGUGACGGCGGCUGCGGCGGCGGUGGCGGCCGCGACCAGGUCGGCGUCCUCAGCUGGCCGAGCAUGGUGGCAGCCUGCACCCUUGGCUCCCUUGUCUGGUGCAGCCAGCAGAGCCGCCAGCCUUGGGCGCCCAUGGCCCUCCGUGUGAGGGCGUGAGCGGCCUGCCCCAGCCUCACCUGCUGAUGGAGGACUCAAUGGCCCAGUGACCUGACACCACACCACCAACUCCCUCCCACCAGCUGACGAAUGGUGGACCCAGUGACGAGUGGCCCUUGUAAGGGUCAUGGAAUAAUUUGAAGCGAGGCAUGAGCGGCCCCUGUGGUCGCCUGUGACUGCUGGAGAUAGAGGUCCCAGCACCCCAAGCCAACCCAGCGGACCCUCCCAGCCCUGCUUCAACCAAUGGGGCCAGUGGGGCUCCAAGCAGCCACCUAACCAUCCAGACCCCACCCCACUCACGCGGCCAUGGCGGGCCCUGAGGGCUUCCAGUACCGCGCUCUGUACCCGUUCCGCCGGGAGCGGCCGGAGGACCUGGAGCUGCUGCCCGGCGACGUGCUGGUAGUGAGCCGGGCGGCCUUGCAGGCGCUGGGCGUGGCCGAGGGUGGCGAGCGCUGCCCACAGAGCGUGGGCUGGAUGCCCGGCCUCAACGAGCGCACACGGCAGCGAGGUGACUUCCCUGGCACCUAUGUGGAGUUCCUGGGGCCCGUGGCCCUGGCCCGGCCCGGCCCUCGCCCACGGGGCCCCCGCCCACUGCCCGCCAGGCCCCGUGAUGGGGCCCCUGAGCCAGGCCUCACACUCCCCGACUUGCCCGAGCAGUUCUCCCCACCUGAUGUGGCUCCCCCUCUUCUGGUGAAGCUUGUGGAGGCCAUUGAAAGGACAGGGCUGGACAGCGAAUCUCACUACCGCCCGGAGCUGCCCGCACCGCGUACAGACUGGUCCCUGAGCGACGUGGAUCAGUGGGACACGGCAGCCCUGGCUGACGGCAUUAAGAGCUUCCUGCUGGCACUGCCCGCGCCGCUCGUGACCCCCGAGGCCUCGGCCGAGGCGCGCCGGGCCCUGCGGGAGGCCGCGGGGCCCGUGGGGCCGGCGCUGGAGCCACCGACGCUGCCGCUGCACCGCGCGCUCACGCUGCGCUUCCUGCUCCAGCACCUGGGCCGCGUGGCCAGCCGCGCCCCGGCCCUGGGUCCCGCGGUCCGGGCCCUGGGCGCCACCUUUGGGCCGCUGCUGCUGCGCGCGCCGCCGCCGCCGUCCUCGCCGCCGCCAGGGGGCGCUCCCGACGGGAGUGAGCCCAGCCCUGACUUCCCGGCGCUGCUGGUGGAGAAGCUGCUUCAGGAACACUUGGAAGAGCAGGAGGUUGCGCCCCCAGCGCUGCCGCCUAAACCCCCCAAGGCAAAGCCGGCCUCCACAGUCCUGGCCAAUGGAGGGAGCCCACCCUCCCUGCAGGAUGCUGAGUGGUACUGGGGGGACAUUUCAAGGGAGGAGGUGAACGAGAAACUCCGGGACACUCCCGAUGGCACCUUCCUAGUCCGAGAUGCUUCUAGCAAGAUCCAGGGCGAGUACACGCUGACCCUCAGGAAAGGCGGGAACAAUAAGCUGAUCAAGGUCUUCCACCGAGAUGGGCACUAUGGCUUCUCAGAGCCACUCACCUUCUGCUCCGUUGUGGACCUCAUCAAUCACUACCGCCACGAGUCUCUGGCCCAGUACAAUGCCAAGCUGGACACACGGCUCCUCUACCCUGUGUCCAAAUACCAGCAGGACCAGAUUGUCAAGGAGGACAGCGUGGAGGCAGUGGGCGCCCAGCUUAAGGUCUAUCACCAGCAGUACCAGGACAAGAGCCGCGAGUAUGACCAGCUUUAUGAAGAGUACACACGGACCUCCCAGGGCCUUUUGGGGAGUCCCAGGAGGUGCUGAGCUGCGCCCCCUCCUCCAGGAGCUGCAGAUGAAGCGUACUGCAAUUGAGGCCUUCAAUGAGACUAUCAAGAUCUUUGAAGAGCAGGGCCAGACUCAAGAGAAAUGCAGCAAGGAAUACCUGGAGCGCUUCCGGCGUGAGGGCAACGAGAAAGAGAUGCAAAGGAUCCUGCUGAACUCCGAGCGGCUCAAGUCCCGCAUUGCCGAGAUCCAUGAGAGCCGCACGAAGCUGGAGCAGCAGCUGCGGGCCCAGGCCUCGGACAACAGAGAGAUCGACAAGCGCAUGAACAGCCUCAAGCCGGACCUCAUGCAGCUGCGCAAGAUCCGAGACCAGUACCUCGUGUGGCUCACCCAGAAAGGCGCCCGGCAGAAGAAAAUCAACGAGUGGCUGGGGAUUAAAAAUGAGACUGAGGACCAGUACGCACUCAUGGAGGACGAGGACGAUCUCCCGCACCACGAGGAACGCACUUGGUACGUGGGCAAGAUCAACCGCACGCAGGCAGAGGAGAUGCUGAGUGGCAAGCGGGAUGGCACCUUCCUCAUCCGCGAGAGCAGCCAGCGGGGCUGCUACGCCUGCUCCGUGGUAGUGGACGGCGACACCAAGCACUGCGUCAUCUACCGCACGGCCACCGGCUUCGGCUUCGCGGAGCCCUACAACCUGUACGGGUCGCUGAAGGAGCUGGUGCUGCACUACCAGCACGCCUCGCUGGUGCAGCACAACGACGCGCUCACCGUCACCCUGGCGCACCCAGUGCGCGCCCCGGGCCCCGGCCCGCCGCCUGCCGCCCGCUGAGCACCGAGGACCCGCCCCAAGCAGAGCCGCCCCUGGGCCCGUCUGCGCCGGAGGCUGCGGCGGCGGGAGCCACGGACCAGACCAGCCACAUCCAGGGGUCCUCAUUUCUCCGGCUCUGGCUCUUGUUUGGGGUUCUCUCACCCUCUUUCUCUUUCCUUCCCUCCCCCAUUCUCCAGAUCUCCCUCUGUCUCCUUUUCUCUGUCUUUCUUGGCCCCUGUCUCUCUCCAUGUUGGGGGUCCUAACUCCCCCACCCCAUAUCUACGUGUCCUCCGGGCAUUGCCCUCUCCAUGGCUCUGGUCACCCUGACCCUCUGCCCUGCCCACCGCAGGUCCCCCGGGGUCCCGGAAGCCCCUUCUGGCUGCACCUGCCAUGUUUACAGAGGGCCCCUGGGCUGCGCGGCCCCAGCCUGGGCACCCUGAUUUUUAAGCCAUAGACCUGGGGUCAGGGCAGGAAGGAACUUCACUCUGCUGCUUCCGAGAACCUCGGCCGUGACAUUCGGGGCCGGGCGGGACCCGCCCCACAGACUCCAACUUCCCCUCCAAACCCCGAAGUGAAACCCGCCACCGGGUUACCCCCACAAGGGGGCCGCUGCGAGAAGUUCACCCACCCCCGAAAAAAUAAUUAAACUCGCAGGCCAGGCACGGUGGCUCAUGCCUGUAAUCCCAGCACUUUGGGAGGCCAAGACGGGCGGAUCUUUUGAGGUCGGGAGUUGGAGGCCAGCCUGGCCAAAAUGGCAAAACCCCGCAUCUACUAAAAUACAAAAAUUAGCCGGGCGUGGUGGCGGCCGCCUGUAAUCCCAGCUACUUGGGAGGCUGAGGCGUGAGAAUCUCUUGAACCCAGGAGAUGGAGGUUGCAGUGAGCAGAGAUCGUGCCACUGCACUCCAGCCUGGGUAACAGAGGGAGACUCCUCCGUCUCAAAAAAAUAAAUAAAUAAACUUGUGAGCUGGCCCCAACCCCUCCUAGGAAUCACAGCUCCCCGUACUGGUGCCGCCGCAGUGGCCAAGUUGCGACACUGCCCACGGCCCCUCCCUCUGAUGCAGAUUCAGGGCUUCUCUUCGAUCAUGUUGGGUUUUGAUUCUGUUUUUCCUUGACUGCAAAACCCUCUUUCCUCUCCUCUUUUGGGACAAGAGCCCUGGUUUUCUACGCUGCCCUUGGCCACCACACUGCCUGCCCCACGAGCUGGGAGGCAGGUUUUGUACGGUACGUUGUUAUUGAUAUGAUAUAAAACAUCAAACGUC